GAUGCCGCCUCUUUCACGAGUUUUGAGUCUCUCUCUUUUAUACUCACAGCCUCAAAGCAGCUGGCUGUUUAAAACCUCCCGGUUUGCUAAGAAGGUAACACAAAAUAAAACCCAAAUAGAGUUUAUUUCGUUGGAUUGUCUAUAGCUUUUCUAUAGCUUAGCUUGUGUCAGGGAAGUCCUCUGAUUGGACCUCUAGUCAAUAAUUUCUAUGAAUAUCUUGAAAUUUCUGGUUUGUUUCCUAUUAACGGAUCCUUCUUCAGCAUUACAAGGGUUUCUUCAUAACCAGGGAUAUAUAUGUGUGUGUGUGUGUGUGUGUGUGUGUGUGUGUGUGUGUGUGUGUGUGAAAAUUUUUGUUUUAAAAUUUUCAUUUAACAAACCUGAUCAGAGGCAGCCGAGCACUUCAGAACUGAGUUCAGUUUCACCAACUAGUCCGAGUGUGUCAAUUUGGCCCCUGGGCCUUUCAAAAUGAUUUUGAAAUUUUGUUACCUGAAGGUUCAUUGUCAAUCAGAGCCACCUGAAAACCUUGUGACAGUGAGGGAAAAGGGAGCAAUGAUAAAAAUAAUUUAAAAACCACUUUAUUGCUAAAAAAAACUGUAUUAUUUAAAAAACAACUUUAUAAUAACACUUUAUAAUUUAAAAAACACUUUAUUGCUAAUUAUAUUUGGCUUCUGUUUCUCUCCCAAAGCAGUGAGGGGAACAAAACAGCUCCUGAAUCUGCAUUUCUUUUCACCAGAGAAAAGUUGAGCCUGCUCAGGCACUGCUAAAAACCUGGUGAAUCCUGAAAGAAUAGAUUAUAGGAGUCUUCCCACUGACUUCAGAGGGCUUUGGAUGAGGAGUCUGUUGCAGUCUCAGUUUCUUUUUAAAGACCUAUGUUAAAACACAUAUGAGGAUGCCAACUUCAGGCCCAAUUCUGUGGCCUUCAUGGUAACUAACAUCUUGGAGAGUACACAGGCGUUGAAUGGUUCAUCUGAUUUCACAUAUUUUCUCCUUCCCUUCCACAAAGGUGCACGCACACACAUCCAACAUGUGGCACUACUACUAGCUUUUCUACUCCCUACAAACCAAGGCUAUUUUACCCACUCCGCUGUCACUCUAAACCUGUCUGAGCUAGCUGUCAAGUAAACCACUGUGCUCCUGUAUGCUAGGGCUUGCUUUUUUAUUAGUAAAAUCUACAAACCCUCAGCUAUGUCUAGGCAAGAAAAAAGACGAAAAUAUUCCAUCUUCUAGCUACUCCUCUCACCAUUUUAAACUAUCACUGUUACUAAAUAAACAAAGAAAAGCAAAGAGAAAUACAUUCUCCCCAUCCAUUUUUUUCUACUAAUAAACCAGUUAAUGGAAAAGAUUCUAAUUCACAUCUUCCUUUUGAAAGAAAGUUGUCCUGAAUAAGUACUGCAGAUAGGAGAUCAUAAUUUCUACAUGAGGGGCUCACAGGGUCCCCAUUACUACAGAAUAUAAAUGCUUCAAAAUCUGUGAUGCUUGGGAAGCAAUAAAAAGCUAUUAACCUUAUUCAACAACUGAGGAGCCCAGUGCCCAGCAUCCUUCCUCUUGGUGCACACUCAGAAAUCAUGUUUUAUUCCAUAUUUAUUUCAUACCCUCCAGAAAAGGCAGGGAUUUAAUUUUUCCUCAUCUGGGGCCUGAUGGAAAGCCAAAUGGAGUCUUUCCAUUGACUUCUGAUGGCUUUGCCUAAGGGGCCUGUUGCAUUCUCUGUUUCUUUUUAAAGACCUAAGAUGUGUAUUAAAGCAUAUAGGAGGAUGGUGACUUCUGGUGUGAUUCUGUGGUCAUUGUCAGAUAAACCUCUUUGUGAACCCCCUAAGAAAGAAAAUUGCCAGAAAAAAAGUCUGCAGGAAUUGGUCAAUGUUUGCCUCAGCUAGGACUGGAGGGUUAGACUGUAGGCAGUAAAACCAGCAUCAGCACUGCGAGCUACUACUAGACCAUGCUUUUAUCAACCCACUGCAGUGCCUGUGACCUGGCCUUCGCAGGUGCCCCCAUCCCCUUCCCCUUGAUUCAUUGUCCCUCAGGACUUUUCUGCCAACAAAUGGUGGUUUGAGAGGUGCUCCUUAAACCAUCUUGCUAAACUUCAGACCUGAGCCAGAGGCCCAUGAAGCAUAGACUCAGAGUGGAGCCCAUUAGCAGUGUAGCAUGGUUUUACUUUGUGACAUUCUCUAUUUCAUCUGAGCUCCCAGUACUUACCUGCUUCAUUCCUUUUUUUUUUUAUUUAUGAUGGCAUUUGCCACAGACCUAAUGAACUGUCCAAAUCUGAAUGUCCCUCAUCCAGAUGCCAAACAAAGGUUUUUUAAAAAAAGUUAAGUAGGAUGUGGAUUGAAAAGGCAGCAUUUUAAUAAAAAUAUAUUUUGGGUUACAGAGAGUUUGUUAAAUGUUAUUAGCCACACUGAAAUUUUACCCAUAUGAUAAAAAGUAUAAAUACAUUGGGUCUGUUUGCAUAGUUAAAAUCAGAUUUCCAGAACCAGAGGUAAAGACAACAACAACAACAAUGGUGAUCAUUUCUGUGGAUAAAUAACAUUAACUCCUGGAACCAAACGUUUUCCAGCUCUGCAAAUAGCAAUAUCAUUGCAAAAUCAUUGCAAAAUCAUUGCUAAUAUUAAGGCAUUCCAAAUAAUACCAUCUGUCAAUCAGACGAGGUUCUUUGGGUAAAUCCGAUAUCUUUUAUUAGACCAAAUAAAAUAGUUGGAAACAUUCUUCAAUCAGUAUUUUUGUUUUAAUUUAAUGAGAAAUAUUUGUGAUUCGAUACAAAGUGAGAAAUCGCCUCUCCAUAGGCUAAAUUCGGGAAGUUUUAGAAGGAGUUUUAGCCUAUGGAGAGGCAAUUUCUCGCUUUGUAUCUACCACAAAUCACAAGUAUUUCUCUGAUUAGCUCUUUUCUAGUUUACCACCAUACUUGAAGCUCUUCCUUUGAAAUAUGUGUCAUUUAAAUCAAACCCCAACAAACCUUUUUUUCCCCAUCCUCUAACUAAUAGUGUCUUUUUGUGCCUGCCGUUUCCAUGGCUUCGUGGGACAGGAAGCUGUCCUGUCUAUGGUGAUCAAUGCUGGUGUUUUGUUAUAUUUGCUCUAGGAACAAAAAGCAUCUGGUUUGGCCAGCUGCUUUUGCCUCAUUGUGGUUUGGUGGGCUUGAUAGCACUCCUGCCGCCCCAGUCCAAGCAGCAAUAUAUAUUAUUCGGACGUCAUUAGGACACCACCUAAUCAGGAAAGUUGUUUUUGAAGCCUAGGGGUCUUUGUAAAAAAAAAUCAAAUAAUAUUUCUCCAAAACACUGUCAGGAAAAUCAAACUCGGUGCUCACAAGGGCAAUAUCUCACGGUCUGGGCAUCGCUUCACAUCAUCACUCUGGCAAGAUGAGGACUGCCUUUGCCUGAUGAGAUGCCCAGGAUGGAGCUGACUUUGUGCUUAGUACAGCAGCUCUUGCUCUUUUUUCUGCUCACAUUUACUUACUCGGGCGGCUCACAAGAGGAGAGCAGAAUGACAGCGGACCCCUCCCUGGGUUUCAGCAGGGGCAGGAUCCGACCCUACAGUCUCGCUGCCAGGUUUUUAGGGUGCAUCUGAAAUGCUCAGCCAGGGGGGACAUUCGCAUGUUAAGUGUUUCCGACGUCUUGCUGAGGAGCCCUAGCUGCACUUAGAGCCCGUGCAUCUUUUUCUUCCCCUUGUCUCUUCUUCGGAGGGAUUCAGGGAUCCUGUUGUUCCUUUGCAGUCUGUUACCGCAUCGACGGAAGAGGAUGUGCAACUUAGUGGAAACGUGUCAGGGCAAUCGGGCCGGAGCCAAAGUCCGCUGUAGGCAUUUGAACAUUUCUCCUUGCCUCCUGGACCCUCUGGAUCCAGCCCUUGGUGAGCCAGAUCUCGAUCACAGCUGGAACUUAACUUUGCUAAACCACUUCUUAAUACCUGAGGCUGCCUGGAUCUCCAGACAGAUCCAACGCGACUGCCAGAUGAGGAUGACAGCUCAGCGCUCCUGUGAAAUACGGAUAUGCAUUUCGACCUAGGAGGACUUGUGCAACCCCUGCUGUCUCCCAUGUCUGGAGGAGGGCGAGUGCGCCCGACAGCUUGCAGUACUAGGCACAUUCAGCAGACAGUGACACUGGCUUUCCCCCCAUCCACUACAAGCCUCUGAAACUCAAUCUUAAUCUUCCACAACCUGACAGAUACCAAGUACCAGCAUCUUAACCACCAGGCAGGUGACACGCCGCCAGCUCUAAGCACAACCCCUUCCAACUUUACACACAGAUCAAGCAACUCUCAUUAUCUCAGUUCCCACCAGCAAUCCCUAUUCAAAAUCUGCAUGUUACCCAAGAUUACCUGCCAUCACCACUCACUGGCAUUGUGGAAUUUGAUUGUGCUAUAAUAAGGAACUGCAGGUGAUUUGAGGUCCUGUGAGGGAAAAGAAUGAGAACCCUGUCUUUGAAUGGUGUUAACCCAAAUUGCUGUCCAAAUAAACCCCGCGUUUCCUAAUGGCACUUGGGAAAUGCACUUAAAUGAGUACUUUCUAUAUUUCUUUGUAGGCUAAAAGUUACUUGGGGAAAGGCAAUGUAAUGUAAUUGUUUUGCUACGACUUGGACAUAUGGUAUCUGGAAUGAACUGCUGCAACUUCAAAUGACAUCUUUGUUCUAUGGUUCUGAUCCUGAAAAUACCUGCAUGCAUACUGUAAUACAAGUCACCUGAAGGCAUCAGGACUUAAACUAAGUUCAGCAAAGGAACUUUGGCAAUUCAAAUAGUCCAAAACUACAGUCCUCAAAAUCAUUCUCUAACCCUUUAUGGGCCUAAAGACUGUAGGCACAUAAAUCUUUACUAGCAAAGCUUCAUAAGCACCUCUGCCUUGAAUCUCAGUCUUUGCAUGGCAUAGUUCAAGAUUCACAGGGUCAGAAAGCAAGUAGGAACAUUACCCUGUAGUUACGUCACUCACCUAGGAAGGGGAGUUCUUUCCAGAGGUAUAAUUAGCAGGGUUUGUUUGCUUACUUCACUGCUCUGGAAGUCCUACCUGCUGCCACAGCAAAGUCUGCCUACCCCAGUUAUCGAUACUAUAGUGACACCACAGGGUCUUUGCACCUGGCUGCUACUGCAACAGCAGCAGUGGAGGGCUGCAGUUUGCUACCCUGGCAUGGGCUCACCAGGGAAGCUACCAUUUUGGUACCCCAAAUAAGUUGGUGCCCCUUACCCACCCCACAUUGCAUUACGGGUGCUUGCCUCCUACCCUGCAGACCAGUUUAUGUAUUUUACAUUUAGCAGUCACUGGAUAAAAUAACCAGACCUCAGAUCAGAGACUGUUACUCAGGUCGUAAAAUAAAUGCAAGAUCAGAUCCUGCGCUCCUAUUAUAUGGAACUGAAAGUAACUGGAGAAACUUUUAAAUACGGAGUGGAGAAUCAGGUAUAACUAAAAGUAAUUUGAACCAAAUUCUCCUCCUGCAUAUUUCAAUCCAGUCUGUCAAAGUAAUUUAUUCAGAUAAAUGUUUUAAGAGCCAAGGAUUGGUAAUAAAAAUGGAAAUCUCAGCUUCUCAUUCUGAUAAUCACAUUAGAAUUUCCCAUACUGUGCAGGUUCUGGGAUGUAUAAUCUCUGGGCAAGUGAAAGGAAAGGGGAAGCUCAGAAGGCUGUUCAAUACAUUUAAUUCCCAGGGUAAUAAUCAGACCUGUGUAAAAUUAACCACACAAUUAUAAUCCUUUAUAAUUGUUAGAAUUGUAUUGCCUUCUAACAUAAUUUUGCAUUAAAAAAACCCUCUUUUGCGUAAAGAAUAUAUGGAUCUUAAUAUGCAGAAAAGACCUUAGUAAACACUUCUUAUUGCCUGUACCAUUUUUCAUUAAACAAUAAGAAUUUUUCAGACUAUAAUCCAGCGGAUUGAUGAGGUUUGGCAAGAGAUUAUAAUAUUUUAAAAUCAUAGCUUUGAAAAGGUUUUUUUUUUUCUUCCACAUUAAUAGAAAAAACCUUAAAAAGGAGAAAAAAUAUUUUCCUUUGCUUCACUAAAAUCUUUCUCAAAGACAUGAACCUGCUUCCAUGAAAGUCAAUGGGGAGAUACGGCAAAGAGAGGAGACAUUUUGGAAGAAAUUACCAAUACAGCUGAGCCUUUUCCUCACACAAGUAGUGCUGUUGUGCCAUAUUGCACCUGCUACAGUUGGACAAUUUUUUCCCUACUUUCUUUUCCACAAUUGUUGUAGUAACACACUGCCAAUAUAAUUUGCAAUUACUGGGUGUCUCAGCUUUUUAACUCAACUGGUCCUGUACUCUUUACUCUGACAAACAAACAGAGGUUUUUCGGAGUUUUUUAAAUUGCUUUUGUCAAGGGUCUAGCUAUCAUUUUGAAAUAUGCACAAAUACUUACACGCUUCCUUGUAACCAGGCUCCUAAGGUAACCCUGCUCCACCAACCCGUUCUAUCUGCAGUGUGUGCAGCAUGUUCUCUCUACCACUGAAUUAUGUUAGCUUUUAGUGAAGGUACUGGGUUCCAGUUUUCUCUCAGCUGUGAUGACUGACUAACUCCAGUGAAGUCAUCUCAGUUAUAGGAACAGAACUGAUAGAAGUCCACUAGUUGAGUAUGAUGCUGGAGUAGAUCCUUAGGUCUGUACAUUUAGGUAUAUGCUAUUAAAAGGUGUGAAAAGGGAAAAUGGGGCAAAUUUACCAGGCAGCACAUGAAAUGUUGCCCCACUGAGGUUAAAAUUGGAUCCCAGAGUGUACACACCAAUCCCCUACUUCGAUACUGGUUCCAAGUUGAUGAGUUUAUCUGAUGUAUCAUGUGUGCAGCAUAAGGCACACUGAAGAAACAGGGUUAGUUUUUCCUGUAUGUGCUUCUCUAAAGAAUUUCCUGGUGACUGUAUCUAACAUCAUAGCCUGGGGUCCCUAGCUGAGGCCUCUUACACCCUUUGUAAUUUAAAAUAAAAGCUGGCAUGAGUUCCCAAGUGCCAGUUUCACUAGCAAGAUCAUAACCAAGUUUCCCUGUGGUAUACAAUUGAAUUAUGAAUACCAGAUUAUUUGUAGAGAUCAGAUUUGCUUUAUAUUUAAACACAUUUUAAAAUGCCAGCAAGAAGAGAACAACAUAUUAGUCUGGUAUCCUGUAAUCUUAUUUAUCUACACACAGAAUAAAGUCUCAGAUGCUGGGAUCUUUUAACAGUUUUUCCAUAUUGGAUUUUUGGGUGGAUGUGGUUUCCUUUAUGUAUCCUAGUAACAUAUUUAGUUAAUUUAUCCAUCUAUGAAUAGGCAGAUAUGCAUACAUAUCCAUAUGUACAAACACACAUAGUCCUAAUUAAAAGUGUUACACUUCCCAUUGCAGAACUAAGUCCAGAGUGAAGCAGGGUUGAGAGAUUGCUCCUGUUUUCCACUGAUUUAGCAGAGGGAGACAGUACAGUUUCACUCACUGAUGAACAAUCCAAAAAGUGAAAUUCAGAAUGUCUUUGGCCUUCACAGUUAAGGUUGCAGUGAGAUUUUCACUCAACGUAAAAUGAAAAUCCUCCUGUUUCACACUUUAAUGAUUGAAGUCAGUGGGAAUUAGGUUCCCUGCUCAUAGAACCUUUGUAGGAUUAAGGUCUUAAUCCCCAAUCUUAUACUUCCACAUGCACUUAACAUCAAGCAGAAGAACAGUUCCAUCCUUUGCAGUGGGACUACUUAUGCUAAAUGCUAAACAUGUGCGUAAGUGAUUGCAAGAUGGGGCCUUAAAUUGUUGUGGUAGCCUUGGCUGUUAUAAGGCAAACUGAAAAUGCAGAGACUCUUAGCAGAUAAAUUGGUACAUAAAGGAUGGAGUGAUCUGCAAACAUUUAAUAUUAAAAUAUAAACAUAAUUUACUUAUAUGAGGGAUUCUGGAGGUCCUAAGAAAUGCUUAGUAUUGGCCUAACCCUGCCCCAGUUGAAAUAAACAGGAGCUUUACCAUUGAUUUCAAUGGGAGCAGAUUUAGGCUGCUCUAGUAGUCUUUUCUUAUACUAUCCCUUUCCUUUUCUUAUAUGGGUUUUUCAGGUUGAUCUUACAACUAAGAUGACCAAAGAAAUAACCCUCUUGUGAAAUGGAUUGCAUCAAGGGAGUGUAGUGCUGCCAUCAUGAUGAUGCUGAAAUGUCAGGCAGCCAUAAAUUUUGAUUCAGUAGCUUUGAUGUCCUGUGUAAUGUCCAGAUACUUCUUGGAUGUUUAUACAAGACUAAUCUGUACCCAAGAAGACUGAUAAGAUGUAACAAAACACAGAAUGCCAUAUAUGUGGAUGAAGAGGGAGGGAUUAAUACCAUUGUCCAUACUUAGUCAAACGCUUAUGCACAUCAAUAAGCAUUUUGAAUAAGUAAGACCUGAUGAAUUGGGCCUGGAAAGUUAAUAGUUUACUUGAUAACUGGUUUGGAAAAAUCCACUGUUUUCUAAGUUCUCACCAGAAUUACAAGAUGAUAUUUUGAAACCAUUAAUAAAUACAAGCAGUACACUUUAUAUUAAAUAUGGGAAAUUUGCCAGAUAUAAGUUUAGAAAUUAAGGGUCAAAUGUGACAAAUACCUUGCAAGGGAAAAUUCUUGCAAGAUACCUUGCAAGAUACCUAUUCUCAGAUACCUUGCAAGGGAAAAUCCUAAAAUAUUUGUUUUAUAUUGCAUCUCGUAUUAAAUUAAUAUCACUUUGUGCAUGGUUCUUUUUAAGUCAUAAGAAAUGAAAAAGCACAUGUUAUUCUGCAUCAAUUUAUUUACCUAUAGGGUAUUUGUUGUCAUAUCAGCUGUCACACACUGAAACCUGAUGUUGGUAGUAAUUAUUAAAGAAAAAAGUACCUGUACAUUUUUGUCAUUUGAUUUCUGUAAUUUGUGGUGAAUGUUGUUUAUGGAAUAAAUAGAUCGAAUGCAUGUGAAUAGCAUGGGAAAUCAAUAAAAUAAACCCUGUAUUCA